rnacentral:lncRNA from 1 species
CAUAUAUUCUCCCUGGCUCUUGACAUGAACACAAGCCCAGUCUCGAGAUUGAACAGUGAGCCGUCCCCCAACGUCCUCUACCCAAAUCUUUGGCUAAACUCAUGGAACAAAUAGUUUUCAUUGCUUCUCUUGAGAUUUUUAGAGGAACGGUCAUUUUCUGAAAAUGAUGUGACUCUUGUCUCUUUCUUUCCAGUAUGUUAGCUUGUUUUGUAUCCAUGUCUAGAACCUGCAGAGUAAAGUUCUAUGACAGGUGGCAUGUGAGGAUCGCGGUGCAAACCCAACGAGUCCAGAAAUGCAGCCCAGUGGACAGAAUGCAGCUUCCUUCCCCUGCUUUCCAGAGCUCAUCGAAUGGUGCUGUCAUGCCAGCAUUGAUUGUGAACAGAUUUCAGGUACUUCACCUCCAUGACCCCCUCGGAUCAGCGUGACAAUCACUAUUCCCAUUGGAGAGAUAACGGGACUCACAGGGAUAGCAGGAUUUUCUCCAAUAGAGCAGCUAUCGCUUAGUCAACCCUGUUAAUUUAGAAAUAAACUCUUCUUGCUCUCUCCUUCA